CGGUCGUAAAGCUCUGUGGGAGGGACGAACCGCUGGUAUUAAUACCAUCCAGCAUGACGGUACCUCCUUAGCAAGCACCGGCUAACUUCGUGC
rnacentral:rRNA from 1 species